rnacentral:rRNA from 1 species
UGGCGGACGGGUGAGUAAUGCCUAGGAAUCUGCCUGGUAGUGGGGGAUAACGUUCGGAAACGGACGCUAAUACCGCAUACGUCCUACGGGAGAAAGCAGGGGACCUUCGGGCCUUGCGCUAUCAGAUGAGCCUAGGUCGGAUUAGCUAGUUGGUGAGGUAAUGGCUCACCAAGGCGACGAUCCGUAACUGGUCUGAGAGGAUGAUCAGUCACACUGGAACUGAGACACGGUCCAGACUCCUACGGGAGGCAGCAGUGGGGAAUAUUGGACAAUGGGCGAAAGCCUGAUCCAGCCAUGCCGCGUGUGUGAAGAAGGUCUUCGGAUUGUAAAGCACUUUAAGUUGGGAGGAAGGGCAGUUACCUAAUACGUGAUUGUUUUGACGUUACCGACAGAAUAAGCACCGGCUAACUCUGUGCCAGCAGCCGCGGUAAU